CCAAAACAAGAAGUGAUGUGGGCCUGGGCCUAUCCCCAACUCUUGAAGAGGCCUGGGCCUAAUGAAGAAGUGAUGUGGGCCUGGGCCUAUCCCCAAACCUUGAAGAGGCCUGGGCCUAAUGAAGAAGUGAUGUGGGCCUGGGCCUAUCCCUGACUCUUGAAGAGGCCUGGGCCUAAUGAAGAAGUUAUGUGGGCCUGGGCUCUUCCCUGACUCUUGAAGAGGCCUGGGCCUAAUGACAAAGUGAUGUGGGCCUGGGCUUUCCCCUGACUCUUGAAGAGGCCCGGGCUACAAUCAGGAAGUGAUGUGGGCCUGGGCCUAUCCCUGACCUUUGAAGAGGCCUGAGCCAAAAUCAAGAAGUGAUGUGGGCCUGGGCCUAUCCUUGACCCUUGAAGAAGCCUGGGCCUAAUGAAGUGAUGUUGGCCUGGGCUUAUCGCCAACACUUGAAGAGGCCAGAGCCAAAAACAAGAAGUGAUGUGGGCCUGGGCCUAUUCCUGACCCUGAAAGAGGCCUGGGCCCAGUGCAAGAAGUGGUGUGGGCCUGGGCCUAUCUCUUAACCCCUGAAGAAGCCCAGGCCAAAUGUAAGAAGCAAUAUGGGCACGGGCCUAUCCGUGACCAUUGAAGAGGCCUGGGCCAAAAGCAAGAAGUGGUGUGGGCCUGGGCCUAUCCCUUUCCCUGAGGAGUUUUGGCCCAAAACUAGUAUAGAUGUUGGCCUAGGCCAAGCCCUGACCUUGAAGAUGUCCAGAUCCAAAAUAAGAAAUGUGGGCAGCCUGUCCCAACCUCUGCCACUUAAGAGGCUUGGGCUGAAUCAACAAGAAUUGGGGCCUGGCCUUUUCCCUAAUCCUCUAGAGGCCCAAGCCAAAGUGGAAGAUAUGUGGAUCUAGGGAUUGACCUCUAAGAAUCCUGGACCCUACCAAGCAGAGGAUAUUGAUUCAGGUCAUUUUUUUUCAAGUAAAGAGGCAUGGACCAAGC
rnacentral:lncRNA from 1 species